rnacentral:ncRNA from 1 species
CUACGGACUUAAAAUUUUGAGUGCCCCUUCGGAAACGAAAGGUGCAGAACUGCUCAAAUUCGGGGAAAGCUGUAAAAUGCCGAUCCCGAGCCAAGCCUGAUUUUUUCAGGAAGGUGUAGAGACUAGACGGGCAGCACCUACCCCCUUUUUCAAAGGGCAGGGUGAAGGGAUAGUCCAGACCCCAAACACUGCAUAAGCAGUGG